rnacentral:rRNA from 1 species
UACAGAGGUCUCAAGCGUUGUUCGGAUUCAUUGGGCGUAAAGGGUGCGUAGGCGGCGCGGUAAGUCGGGUGUGAAAGUCUCGGAGCUUAACUCCGAAACUGCAUUCGAUACUGCCGUGCUUGAGGACUGGAGAGGAGACUGGAAUUACGGUGUAGCUGGUGAAAUGCGUAGAUAUCGUAAGGAAGACCAGUGGCGAAGGCGGGUCUCUGGACAGGUUCCUGACGCUGAGGCACGAAGGCCAGGGGAGCAAACGGG